rnacentral:SRP_RNA from 1 species
AUACGGGAUUCUUGCGGCGUGGUCGUAUCGAACCGCGUCAGGUCCGGAAGGAAGCAGCGCUAAGGUAUUAUCGCGGGUGUGGGUAAUUCUUGUCUUUG